AUGCUCUCUGCCCCCUGCCCCCUCCUCUGUAGGUCAUGUCUCUGGCCCAGAGCGAUUCUUGGCUCAGGUACCCCUAGUCCAGGGAAGGCAGGACCCAAGCUGAGCCCCUGCACAGCCCCUCUCCCUGGAGCCUCACACCAAUGCCCCAAUGCUGCAAGCUCAGUGAAGUCGCCCUCCUUUUACCGCAGGGAACAAGAUUCACAGGACCUGCCUAAGGUUGCGGAGCUUGAAUGCAGCAAAGGGCUACAAGAAGAGUGGGGGAGCGGGAGAGAGACGCAAGAGAAGAAAAAAGACAACAGGUGAGUGAUGAUACGGAUCACGGGAAAGACCAGCCUAGGUACUUCUGCGAGGAUGGAGAGGGGAGGGGAAGGUCAAUGUUCUGAUUCAUCAACUAACUAACAGGCUGUACUGGUUAAAAAUACAGCCUUUAAACUUUAAAGGGCAAAUAAGACUCUCUAGAACUUACAUGUUUUAGUUUCUACCUACAAUUUAAUCAAUUGACCUGUAAAUCUCCUUCAUUUAAAAAUAUUUUUAUGGAGUUCCCUUUGUGGCUCAGCGGUCAACGAACCUGACUAAGGUCCAUGAGGUUGCAGGUUCGAUCCCUGGCCUUGCUCAGUGGAUUAAGGAUCCGGCGUUGCCAUGAGCUGUGGUGUAGGUUGAAGAUGCAGCUUGGAUCCUGCAUUGCUGUGGCUGUGGUAUAGGCUGGAAGCUACAGCUCCUAUUGGACCCCUAGCCUAGGAACCUCCACAUGCCAUGGAAGAGGGCUCCCCCCCCCCAAAAAAAAGCAAAAAUAUUUCAUUUAAAAAUUUACCAUGGGGAGUUCCUGUUGUGGCGCAGUGGUUAACGAAUCCGACUAGGAACCACGAGGUUGAGGGUUAGAUCCCUGCCCUUGCUAAGUGGGUUAAGGAUCCGGUGUUGCCCUGAGCUGUGGUGUAGGUUGCAGACGCGGCUCAGAUCCCGCAUUGCUGUGGCUCUGGCGUAGGCCGGCAGCUACAGCUCUGAUUAGACCCCUAGCCUGGGAAUCUCCAUAUGCCGCAGGAACAGCCCAAGAAAUAGCAAAAAGACAAAAAGAAAAAAAAAAUUUUCCGUGGAAAACAGAAAAUGAAAAGACAGGAAUGGCCCAUGUGUGACCUGAUUCUAGGGGGAAUCAGACAUUAAAAUCCUAAGUGAAAACCAGCAAGGAUGGGCUGCAGAGCCCGGAAACCAGACCUAAGAAAGGCAGUCAAGGUGAGCUUUCCGGAGGUGAAGCCAAAACAAAAUGUGAAGACAAGUAGGAGUUCCCAAGCAGAGACUGCUUGGGGAC
rnacentral:lncRNA from 1 species